GCAGUCAGGAUAGCUCAGUUGGUAGAGCAUGAGACUCUUAAUCUCACAGUUGUGGGUUCGAGCCUUCUGCAGCCUCCUACAUUGCA